GAAGUAUCUACUAAAACCGAAGGCAAACAUUUAACAAUAGGAUUAAUAUGGUAAUCCACAAACUCAGAAAUACGCUCUGUGGGCGUCCCACAGUUCGAAACCACUGGCCUACCCGGAACAUUCACUAAUCGCUUGUCUAUCUUAGGCAACAAAUAAAAUCUGCCUAAAUUUACACUCUCUCCUUUUAGAUACUUCCGAUUUACCUCGGUUAUCUUUCCUUCAUGUGCCAUUUUUUUUAACUUUCC